GGGAAGUAGAUAUUGAAGGUUAUAUGGUUUACAGACAAGAUCUUUAAAAGAUAGGCACUCCAGGUUCUUCCAGCCCCUCCUUCCCCCCGACCAUGUGUACUGAUGACACCUGAUGCUCUCACCACCUACAGGACCAAGGAAAUAAAUACCAGAAGCCAAGAGCACAGAAUAUUUUCCUUCAUCAAUCCACAAACCCUGAUACUUCUCUAAUUCCAUCAAACACAAAGGAAUGAUCACC
rnacentral:lncRNA from 1 species